AUCUGCUUAGCGAGGCUUUCCGAGGAGUCAAGGGAUUCCUUGAUCGCGUUAGGCAAAAGUUUCAAAAAUUUUCAGAGGCUGAUCCAAAUUUGCAGCCCCUCAGGGGUGAAGACAGAGAGAAAACUUCAAUCCCUCACUUCCAUUUCUUUUGGAGGGAAGAGGAAUGACACUUCUGCAGUAGGAAUUUCUUAUCUGAAUCCUCUGAAGAAUUCUCAAAAAUGGCUCCGCAGUUUAUGUCUGUGGUCCUUGGUGCACAACGGUUAUCUACUAGGUCUCAUAUUCACAUCACAGGGGUACCUGAUAUUUCAGUUCAUACCUUUGACCUUCUUGAUGUAGCAGAAAUGGGGAAUGUUGCUGGCAAAUAUUAAAUGGGAAGGAAGAUAAGAUGCCAUUUUUGACACUCUAGCAAGCUUAUAUGUCAACUGCAACAUACGUCUAAUGUGGCAAGAUCUCAUCUCUCAAGACAUCUUUGAUUUUUAAAAAGAAAUAUAUAUUUUCCAGUGCAAGGGUGACCUCAACCCUCCAACCAGGGGAAAACUCCCCAACCCAACCUGAACAAAGUGUUGUGAAGAGGUCUAAGGGAGAAAUCAAGGUUAAGGAUCAACUUCCACAGGUCAAGGAAAAUCAGAUCUACAGAUCAUGCUGCUGUGCUACCACCUUUCACCAUGGAAUCAACACCAAGUUUGCCCCAUGAAGGUCAAGUGUGGGAAUGUGUUCUUCUUAGUACCAACCAAAAUCUGCUUAAAUUGCUGAUGGGAACAAAUGUGAGAAGGCAGACAUUUGGACAUUGUAUGAGCAAGGAUGAUUUCGAGUACAGAUAAGAAGGUUGUGACCUAUAAUUUCAACUCAGCAAACCAACCUGGGGGAAUAAUGUGGAUGGCAUCAUUGGUCGAAUAUGUGGCCCUUCAGAAGACUGAGCAUACUUGUGGGUGGACCACUACCAUACCAUGUGACUGUGUUAAAAGGGGGUGUAGGUCACUCGCUCAAACAACGGGCCAAGCAACCAAAGUGCAGAUGCUCCUUGAUGUAAAGAGGAUUGGUCAAUGUGCCUGGAAUGACAGUUUUCUAUGGGAGUGACUUAAGGAAACCCGCCCAAAUAGUUUGGGAGAUGUGCUCUUGAUUCUUCAUGAGAACUUUCCUUCAACUCCUGUGACACUGACCAGUUGCGCUGUUUGGAAGAAGGCCAAACCCUGUCCAGAUGGUUGUUGGGCCAACAGUCUGAGAUUCCAAGUUGGCCCGAGUACUUCUCAGUCUCUACCUAUAGCAAGGACAAUGUUUUCACAGAUGAACAAAUCAAGUAUGGCUAUGGCAACCUCGACUUUACAUUCAUGCAGGUCUUGGGAUCAGGCUGUCAACCUAUGUUCCUAUGGCUAUUUUCCUGGUGCAACAGUGUUCCUGGGUUUCCAGAGAUGUCACCUAUGCUUGGUGUGGCAUACCAUGUGAGAUGUCACACAAGAAUCACUGUCCUACUUCUCCUCCACCAGAUGCUGUUUCAAUGAUGCUUGCUGAGAGAGUGACAGUGGCCGGUCCAGCCUCAAAUCCAGAUGAUGAUCUUCAUGUUUCCUACACUGGUGACAGUUUGUACAGAAAGGACAUUCUUCUUUCGCUUGUUUUACAUCAUCAAACUAUCAAAACCAAUAUCACACGUGAUCUAUCUGCCAUCAAUGUUUCCCAAUACUUCCCACAAUGCCAUCCAUUUUUAACUGUUGCUUGGGCUUCAUGGAAUCUGUGGAAUACGAAAUGGACUGUAAUACAGCAUCCCAAUAUUGGAGAACAUUAAACAUCGCCUUACCUCUCUUUCCCUCCACAACCUGGAAGACUCCAGAAAAGAGACCUUGGGACUAUCCUAAGUGGUUUAGGGACUGCAGGGCAGGAUUAAAUGCUAAGUCAUUGGAAGUCAUUGCUAACAAAUUAAGGUGAUUCUAUGUAGAGAUGUAUGUAUGAUGUAAAGAGAUAUGUGUAUGUAUGCUUUAAGAAAACAUACAAUGAGGUGAUUCUCACGACUGCCAAAAAGUAAGCUAAGGGAGCCUAGCCUGCUUUUUGGCAGUCGUGUGCUGCCACGGGAGCCGAGCGGCUCCCGGCAGCAAACCGUCCUAACUAUCCCUCCCCUUAGCCCAGGUUAGUGGAGCUCUGCUAACCGGAUCGUGUGUUGCCAGGUUGCGACUCCGCACCGUGGCAACUCACGAGGAGACCCCCGACCAGGAGGCGAAAAAGCAGCCUACCGACUCAGGGGUCUCUCCAGCAUGCUCUGCGCACUCCUGCAGAGCAUGCUGGAACUUCCAGGGGCUGCAUGGCCCCCGAACUUGCAAGCCCCCGCCGGCUCUGUAAUGGAGCUGGCAGUCAUGUGGGCGGCCAAUCCAGCAGUUAUGUGGGCGGCUGAUCCAGCCACCCAGGGCAGAUUGCAGGAUCGUCUGGGGGGAGAGCGGGCUAAGCCCGCUCUCCCUGCUUAACCCCAUCUGGCAGUUCCCAAUGAUUGUGGGGACCGCCCAAUGUCUUUCAUACGUUUACACAUGAAAGGGGUUACAGAUGGGAUGUCUAAUGCCUUCACACUUAUAUUUGCAGGCGACAAGGAUCUGGCAAAGCUUUUACCAUGCUGGGUCCAAACUGAACAUGGCAUUCUUCAAAAAUCCCUAACAGCCUCCAAACAUGGUAUAUAUAAUUUAUCCAUAGCCAUCCAGUUCUUACAACUUCAAGGUGCCCUUUGGCACCAGUCUGAUUGAAGGUGCUAUGGCCCACAAAAUGCAUUCUGAUUUGGCCUUUAUACGAGAUUUAAAAUACUCUUCAGAUACUUAAUCACAUUUACUACACACAGCCGAGGUAACUUUGGAUCAGUGGGAUCCAAAGGGAUUGAUUUUGACAGUCUAUGUUUCUCACUCUAAGGUCUUGGAGAAAACCACAGUAUUUGCAAUGUCACAUUUAGGAUUUCCAUUGGCCGAAGCCAAUUUCUACAUGUUACCAGCUUGGUCAGAUACCUCACAUAUGUUUCAUUUGCAGGACUGCAAGACAGCAUUUAAGUGGGUUCUUUGUCCUAAUCCACCGGAAUCAUUCCCUGAACCCCAAUUUUCAGUCCUAAAAUUUUUCCCUAACUCAAUUAAUGAACUGUAUAUGGUUAAUGAAACAUGCUUCUGUCUGCAAACAUCUUGUUCUCAGGUUACUUUGUCUACUGGUAAGGAGGUGACCAUUGAAAGGAAAAAGGGCAAUCCUUGUUUUUCUUUUCCUUGGGUAAAGGAUUGUUGGGGAAAAUACUCAUGCUAGUGUGUGAUGUCAGUGAAAUCAUCAGUGAUUCGGAAUGGAUGCAUGGUCUAUUUAAUCUGAUAGGCUUCCAUAUGGAAGACAAAAUUAAAAUUUUGGAGUGGAUGUCUGAACGCCAUGAUUUGGAAAACCAGAUACUAGACAAUGCACAUAAAUUCAAUAAUUCAGCUCAGAUUUGGGACCAUGUAGCCAAGGUGGGUGAGAAAAUAAAGGAAGUUGCACAACAUUCCUGUUUUGACACUUUGUUGGGCUGCAGUCCAACUGGAACGGGUUUUGGGAACAUGAUCUUGCAUCCAGUGGUAUUCCUUUUGGUAGUGCAGGUCAUCCUAAUGAUCUGCAUGAUUGGAAUCUGUAUUUGGAUAAAGAAGGCCACUAGGGACUUGUGGGCUUGCACUUCAAUUUGUAGACAAUUUCAUUUGAUCAGAAUGCUUGCUGCUUGCACGGCCUGUCCUGAUGAAGCAGAAGACAAUUGUCCAACUCCAGUUUGUGAGAAUUUGAGGAGGGGGAAUGAUGAUAUAUACACUGAUGCAGACUUGCAAUAACUUUUGACUUUUGCAGUAACUUAUAAGUACCCAUGACCAUACAUUCAUUAGCACAUGUUACACAGUGUUGGGAUGGAUGAGACUAACAUUUUUAGGCAAUAUGUUUGAAAGCUCAUUUUCAUUUCUGUUUAUCCAUUUCAGUAUUAUACUCUGUAUUCAUUUGUACCGAAUGUAUUAAUUUCUACUUAUGUAUCAUCUUUUAUAUUACCCUUUAUAUUCAUUUAUAUUCAUUAUAUUAGUAUUAUCAGUAUUAUCAAGAUAGAAUACCUGUAUCACUUGCCAAUAUUAGUUGAAUAGGUGCAUUAAAUUGGUA